AAACCAGAUGCUGCGUGCCGGAGAAUCACUUCACGAAUGAUACCUGGAUAAGGAGGGACAUGUGUUAAAUCAAUUCCUGGACCUGGUCGCUAUUGCCGAUGGCAAAGCAAACACUGUCGUGAACGCCAUCAAGGAUGUCAUGCUGAAGAAGGACCUCCCAACAGAGAAACUUUAUGGACUCGGGACAGACGGGGCAGCCGUUAUGACAGGGCGUUUGAAUGGGGUUGCAAAGCAACUUGCAGACAGCUUCCCCAAGAUUGUGGCUGUGGCUUGUGCUGCUCACAGAUUGGCCCUUGUCUGC